rnacentral:tRNA from 1 species
GCCUCGGUAGCUCAGCCAGGUAGAGCGGCAGCCUCGUAAGCUGCGGGUCGCGGGUUCGAAUCCCGCCCGAGGCU